rnacentral:rRNA from 1 species
AUACGGAGGGUGCGAGCGUUGUUCGGAAUCAUUGGGCGUAAAGCGCGUGUAGGCGGCUUGGCAAGUCGGAUGUGAAAUCCCGGGGCCCAACCCCGGAACUGCAUUCGAAACUGCUUCGCUAGAGUCCCGGAGAGGAAGGCGGAAUUCCCGGUGUAGAGGUGAAAUUCGUAGAUAUCAGGACGAACACCAGUGGCGAAGGCGGCCAUCUGGACGGUGACUGACGCUGAGACGCGAAAGCGUGGGGAGCAAACAGGAUUAGAAACCCCAGUAGUCC